UGGCUUUCCUGGAUCGGGUGUCACCCAAUCAGCUUCGGCCAUGAGGGCGUGGUGACUCUGUGCUCUCGGGCUGCCAGGCACUCGUCUCUCUCUUCCUGGGCUGUGGGUGGAGACAGUUUCAAGGUAGAGGAGUUUGGACAGACGGACAGUCAUAGGCUUGGUUGGUCCAGGCUGUUGCUGGAUGGGUCACUCAAAGGUCUGGCAGUUCUGGAUGAAAUGGCACAUGAAAUUGUCACCAACACAGCAAGACAGCCUGAAGAAACAAGCAUUCCUGCCACCAAACUCCUACACCAGCUCAUCAGAAAUGGCAGCCAAGGCCAGAUGUGGUGACUCAUGCCUGUAAUCCCAGCACUUUGGGAGGCCAAGCCUGAGAGAUCAUUCCUACAGUGCAAAUCUGGGCAUAUCCUGCCUCUGCUGAGAGCUUCCUGUGGCUCUUACAUUUUGCCAGCACAUGCCAGAAUGAACAUGGCUUUGCAUAUACUGUUGCCUCUGUCUGUAAUAACCUUCACCACACUUUGCCUCCUGAGAACUCCUAUUCAUCCUUCAAAACCCAGUGCAGACUCAUCUCCUCUCAGAAGGCUUCCAAGAUUGCCCUUUCCAUCCCCAAGUCAAGGUAACAUGCCUGGCCCCUCAUGCUAUCUUCUAUGUUGUGUGGAUCCCUCUGUCAUUAUUCAGUUUAUACAACAUGGCUGUCACUAUUUUGCAAUCUCCUUGAGGACCUUGGACCUACCUUGACCCUCUCACCUAGCCAAGGCUCUGGCUUAUGUCAGUGAUGGCUGACCCAAACUGAAUUUGUUACUAGUCAGAGAUGCCAGGGGAUGUAAGUGUUACUGUCCCAGGGCCACGCUGUGUGGCCUUGGGCAUGCCCUUUCCGUCUCUGGGCUGCAGCUGCAGCAUCUC